rnacentral:rRNA from 1 species
AGUGAACGCUGGCGGUAGGCCUAACGCAUGCAAGUCGAACGGCAGCACAGUAAGAGCUUGCUCUUACGGGUGGCGAGUGGCGGACGGGUGAGGAAUACAUCGGAAUCUACUUUUUCGUGGGGGAUAACGUAGGGAAACUUACGCUAAUACCGCAUACGACCUACGGGUGAAAGCAGGGGAUCUUCGGACCUUGCGCGAUUGAAUGAGCCGAUGUCGGAUUAGCUAGUUGGCGGGGUAAAGGCCCACCAAGGCGACGAUCCGUAGCUGGUCUGAGAGGAUGAUCAGCCACACUGGAACUGAGACACGGUCCAGACUCCUACGGGAGGCAGCAGUGGGGAAUAUUGGACAAUGGGCGCAAGCCUGAUCCAGCCAUACCGCGUGGGUGAAGAAGGCCUUCGGGUUGUAAAGCCCUUUUGUUGGGAAAGAAAUCCAGCCGGCUAAUACCUGGUUGGGAUGACGGUACCCAAAGAAUAAGCACCGGCUAACUUCGUG